UGUGUAAAAUAUUUAUAAAGUCUAGCCUGCCCACUGAAAUUUAAAGGGCCGCGGUAAUUUGACCGUGCGAAGGUAGCAUAAUCAGUAGCUUCUUAAUUGGGGGCUUGUAUGAAUGGUUGGACGAAAGAGAGGCUGUCUCCUUGGUGUUUUGUUUAGAAUUUAACUUUUAAGUGAAAAGGCUUAAAUUAUUUAGGGGGACGAUAAGACCCUAUAAAACUUGACAUGAAUAUGGUUUAAUUUGUGAUUUUUAGUAAAAGAUGUCUAUAUUAUAUUUAUGUUUCGUUGGGGCGAUGUAGAUAUAAAUUGUAACUGUUUAUUGAAAUUUAAUAGUAAUAAUUAGUUCUUGAUCCCUGCCUUUGGGAUUAGAAGAGUAAGUUACUUUAGGGAUAACAGCGUAAUUUUCUUUGAGAGUUCUUAUCGACAAGAGUAGUUGCGACCUCGAUGUUGAAUUAAAAUUUUUAGCUAGGCGCAGCCGUUUAGCUGGUAGGUCUGUUCGACCUUUAAAAUUUUACAUGAUUUGAGUUCAAACCGGU
rnacentral:rRNA from 1 species